rnacentral:misc_RNA from 1 species
UACGGGGGGGGCAAGCGGUGUUCGGAAUUUCUGGGCGUAAAGGGCUCGUAGGCGGCCAACUAAGUCACACGUGAAAUCCCUCGGCUUAACCGGGGAACUGCGUGUGAUACUGGAUGGCUUGAGUCCGGGAGAGGGAUGCGGAAUUCCAGGUGUAGCGGUGAAAUGCGUAGAUAUCUGGAGGAACACCGGUGGCGAAGGCGGCAUCCUGGACCGGCACUGACGCUGAGGAGCGAAAGCCAGGGGAGCAAACGGG